AUUGAACGCUAGCGGGAUGCUUUACACAUGCAAGUCGAACGAGUGGCGGACGGGUGAGUAAUAUAUCGGAACGUGCCCAGUAGCGGGGGAUAACUACUUGAAAGAGUGGCUAAUACCGCAUACUAUUGGAGCGGCCGAUAUCGGAUUAGCUAGUGGGUGGUGUAAAGGCUCACCAAGGCAACGAUCCGUAGCUGGCUUGAGAGGACGAAGAGCCAAAGUGGAACGGGGACACGGCCAGGACUCCUCCGGGAGGCACCAGUGGGGAAUAUUGGAAAUGGGGGAAAAUCCGGCUGCAGCCAUGCCGCGUGUAUAAGAAGGCCCUAGGGUUGUAAGGUACGUUCAGUCGGGAGGCGUUACCGACAGAGAAAGCACCGGCUAACUCCGUGCCAGCAGCCGCGGUAAUUC
rnacentral:rRNA from 1 species